rnacentral:rRNA from 1 species
AUUGAACGCUGGCGGCAGGCCUAACACAUGCAAGUCGAGCGAGCGGCGGACGGGUGAGUCAUGUAUGGGGACUGCCCGAUAGAGGGGGAUAACUACUGGAAACGGUGGCUAAUACCGCAUACUAUCGGAUACCCCUUAUGGGAUUAGCUAGUAGGUGGGGUAAAGGCUCACCUAGGCGACGAUCUCUAGCUGGUCUAAGAGGAUGAUCAGCCACCCUGGGACUUAGACACGCCCCAGACUCCUACGGAGGCAGCCGUGGGGAAUAUGGCACAAGUGGCGCAAGCCUGAUGCAGCCAUGCCGCGUGUAUGAAGAAGUCCUUAGGUUUGUAAAGUACUUUCAGCGGGGAGGCGUUACCCGCAGAAGAAGCACCGGCUAACUCCGUGCCAGCAGCCGCGGUAAUUC